rnacentral:lncRNA from 1 species
GAUGAAAACCAAACAGUACCGCGCCCACAUGCGACAUCAACUACUCUUCUACAGAUUGUCGGUGCCGUAAUCACACUAAAGCAGAUAUGCUUCUUCUACGGGGAGAAAAAGAAAAACAGCAGAGGAGCACACAAUGAGAGAGGCGCGGCGGCGGGGGCGCAGGAUAUACGGACUGAAGCGGAGAAGCUUUCUUUACCAGAGUUUUUCAGGACACCAUAAGGACAUCAUGAGCGUAAUGAAAGUUGAUGAAGAGGACAAAAGAGAUGAUUUAGCUGUCACUCCACGUAUCUGCUGAGCAGCUCCUAACCGAGACUGCCUAUCAGGUAGCCUAGAGAGAGGAUCGAUACCUCACCCCGCACACACGCAGGGAUGAUUUACAUGUUGCAUAUAUGUGGGUUAUUCCCUGAUGUCAGUUCCCUUUAGUUUCUGCUCGCUUCCUCCUCCAUCUAACACACACACACGCGCACGCACGCACACACACAGUAGUAUUCUUGGAUGUUUUGUAUCUGAUCUCUUUCCUCUCUCUCUCUCCUGCAGACUGGCUGCUGCUGAAGUUGAGGUGCAGCUGUAGCUGGAAGAAGUGGAUUCCUAGAAGGCAGCGGCUCUGGAGAUGCCGCUCCCCCAGGGCAUGAUGCUCUGCCUGGGCAUACUGCUUAUGGCUGUUGGGGGGGUCAUUGCCCUGUGUGUGGGCCUGCCCUAUCAGUCUGCCCCGCUUUUUGGAGUCGGGCUGUUGGUGGCCCUGGGGGGCGUGGCCCUGCUGAUCAGUGGACUCUGCAUGGCAAUGAAGAAUCUCCAGGUGGCAGUGCCCGGACACUUCCUCCUGCACCCCCGCACAGGCAUGCGCUUCAGCCCACAGCAGGCCCUGGUUAUACAAAGGAGGUUGGACCGAAUUCGAAGAGAGAUGUCAGAGGACUCUGUAAGAAGCACGGCACCAGAGCCUGAACCCCCCCUCCCAUCCACCCCACCACCCUGGACUAUGGAGCCGCCUCCAUCCUACGACACAGUGAUGAAGAGCCAGGAGCACAGCGAUCAGCUUUAACCUCUCACUCUGGUGGACAUCUUACUUUAAUAGUGCCUUUUGUCUUCGGAGCCUUAAAUGAACAGUCGGUGCGAUGGAUGAACUCUCAAGGGGCCUCUUCUGUGCCUUAAGACAGCCGCCCUGAACCCAAAUACAAGCCAAGAAGCAGGAAGAGACUGCAGCUGGUGAAAGACUUAAUAUUUGUACAAACUGAGCCCCAGUGUGGCCUCUGUGUUGACUAAACGUGUGUGUUGUGAUUGAUUGUGAAAGGAAUUGAAAUGAUCACUACAACUGCGCUGCUCUCUACGCUAAGGGCCUUUCUCCUGACCAUCAUUAUGUCACUUUUACAACAACGUUUAGGGAUUCAUGUCGACAGUUUGGCUCCUGUAGACACCUAAUUAGGAUAUUUUAUUGGCCUGCUUGAAUUUAUGUGACCCAAUACUGUGGCUGCGGAGCAUUCUGCUUCAAACACGAUAAGAACUUUCCUCACAGUUUCUCUUUGUAUAUGCACUCUUUCCUGUCAUAGCUUUGCUCCAGGAUCAUUGACAGCCUACUACAAUGCAAAGUGCCUUCACCGGCAGAAUGUUACAGUGCAGCUUUGUAUGCCGUGUUUGUAGAAUGCCCGCUGUUGGUUCCAUGUUGUGAUGUUACUAUAAACGUGAGUUAUUGAAUAGCUACUGAGCUCUCUGUGGGUG